CUAAUGAUCCUUCCGUAGGUGAACCUGCGGAAGGAUCAUUAGUGAUUGCCUUUAUAGGCUUAUAACUAUAUCCACUUACACCUGUGAACUGUUCUACUACUUGACGCAAGUCGAGUAUUUUUACAAACAAUGUGUAAUGAACGUCGUUUUAUUAUAACAAAAUAAAACUUUCAACAACGGAUCUCUUGGCUCUCGCAUCGAUGAAGAACGCAGCGAAUUGCGAUAAGUAAUGUGAAUUGCAGAAUUCAGUGAAUCAUCGAAUCUUUGAACGCAGCUUGCGCUCUCUGGUAUUCCGGAGAGCAUGCCUGUUUCAGUGUCAUGAAAUCUCAACCACUAGGGUUUCCUAAUGGAUUGGAUUUGGGCGUCUGCGAUUUCUGAUCGCUCGCCUUAAAAGAGUUAGCAAGUUUGACAUUAAUGUCUGGUGUAAUAAGUUUCACUGGGUCCAUUGUGUUGAAGCGUGCUUCUAAUCGUCCGCAA
rnacentral:rRNA from 1 species